GGAUAGCUCAGUUGGUAGAGCACAAGACUCUCAAUCUUGGAGCCGUGGGUUCUAGCUCCACGAUGGACA